rnacentral:rRNA from 1 species
GACGAACGCUGGCGGCGUGCUUAACACAUGCAAGUCGAACGGAAAGGCCCCGCUUGGGGGGUGUGCUCGAGGGGCGAACGGGAGUGAAACGUGUGAGUAACGUGCUCGAGACUGGGGGAUAACUUCAGGAAACUGGGGCUAAUACCGGAUGGGAGCCUCCGGCGCAGGGGGGGGGGGGGAGAGUUUCGGCGGUGGGGUUUGGACGCGGGGCUUAUCAGCUUGUGGGUGGGGGUGUGUCUUCCCAGGGCUUUGCCGGGUAGCGGGCCUGAGGGGGUGCCCGCCCCCAUUGGGCCUGGGAUCCGGCCCGGCCUCCUCCGGGCGGCGGCAGUGGGGAAUUUUGCCCAUUGGGCGGAGCCCUGAUGCAGCACCGCCGCGUGCGGGAUGACGGCCUUCGGUUUGUAACCCGCUUUCGCCUGUGACGAAGCGUGAGUGACGGUAGUGGGUAAAGAAGCACCGGCUAACUACGUG